rnacentral:rRNA from 1 species
UACGUAGGUGGCGAGCGUUGUCCGGAUUUACUGGGCGUAAAGAGCGCGCAGGCGGUCGUUCAAGUCGCGUGUGAAAGCCCCCCGGCUCAACUGGGGAGGGUCACGCGAUACUGUUCGACUCGAAGGCAGGAGAGGGAAGUGGAAUUCCCGGUGUAGUGGUGAAAUGCGUAGAUAUCGGGAGGAACACCAGUGGCGAAGGCGACUUCCUGGCCUGUUCUUGACGCUGAGGCGCGAAAGCUAGGGGAGCAAACGGG